AGUGGAGGCCUCAAACUCUCCAACUACACGUGCCAUCUCGGGGCCAGACAGCAUCCAUCGUCGCAGAGCUGCAGGGUUCUCCGUCAGGCCUACAGCAUCACUAUCACCUUUCACAGAGCUACAGGAUGAUAGACCAGAAGUGGAACUGGGGACAUGACACUGGUCUUGUCCACCCGCUACCCCUCCAGGAGGUUGCCAAGUACCUUGAGUGCUGCCAUCUCAAUGUGAAACCUAACAAACAUCACAAGCCCCUGAACUCCCAUCCCCAGGUGACUGGAUGCAAAAAGGGGUGCAGUGGACAAUUUUCAAAUGUGUCAAAGUAGGAAUUCAGUGCACUUCCCAUUGCUACUGUGGGGGACUGUGUUUUCAGAACUAACUCUGCAUUUAGUUGAAAACCUGUAAUAUGACAUAUAUAUUAUGUAACAUGUAUUACUUCACCAUAAUAAAUAUGUUAAUGGUUUUA